GGUUUUAUAUUCAAUUAUGAUUUUAAAUUGCAAAUUUAAAGGUGUUUAUAAAUAACUAAAACUU
rnacentral:tRNA from 1 species